rnacentral:rRNA from 1 species
GGAUUAGAUACCCUGGUAGUCCACGCUGUAAACGAUGUGUGCUAGCCGUUGGGGCACGUGGUGUCUCGGUGGCGCAGCUAACGCUUUAAGCACACCGCCUGGGGAGUACGGUCGCAAGAUUAAAACUCAAAGGAAUUGUCGGGGGCCCGCACAAGCGGUGGAGCAUGUGGUUUAAUUCGAAGCAACGCUCAGAACCUUACCAGCUCUUGACAUUUCGAUCGCGGUUACCGGAGACGGUUUCCUUCAGUUCGGCUGGAUCGAGGACAGGUGCUGCAUGGCUGUCGUCAGCUCGUGCCG